GGAUGAACGCUGGCGGCGUGCCUAAUACAUGCAAGUCGAACGCACAGCGAAAGGUGCUUGCACCUUUCAAGUGAGUGGCGAACGGGUGAGUAACACGUGGAUAACCUACCUCAAGGUUGGGGAUAACAUUUGGAAACAGAUGCUAAUACCGAAUAAAACUUCGUAUCGCAUGAUACAAGGUUAAAAGGCGCUACGGCGUCACCUAGAGAUGGAUCCGCGGUGCAUUAGUUAGUUGGUGGGGUAAAGGCCUACCAAGACAAUGAUGCAUAGCCGAGUUGAGAGACUGAUCGGCCACAUUGGGACUGAGACACGGCCCAAACUCCUACGGGAGGCUGCAGUAGGGAAUCUUCCACAAUGGGCGAAAGCCUGAUGGAGCAACGCCGCGUGUGUGAUGAAGGCUUUCGGGUCGUAAAGCACUGUUGUAUGGGAAGAACAGCUAGAGUAGGGAAUGACUUUAGUUUGACGGUACCAUACCAGAAAGGGACGGCUAAAUACGUGCCAGCAGCCGCGGUGAUACGUAUGUCCCGAGCGUUAUCCGGAUUUAUUGGGCGUAAAGCGAGCGCAGACGGUUGAUUAAGUCUGAUGUGAAAGCCCGGAGCUCAACUCCGGAAAGGCAUUGGAAACUGGUCAACUUGAGUGCAGUAGAGGUAAGUGGAACUCCAUGUGUAGCGGUGGAAUGCGUAGAUAUAUGGAAGAACACCAGCGGCGAAGGCGGCUUACUGGACUGUAACUGACGUUGAGGCUCGAAAGUGUGGGUAGCAAACAGGAUUAGAUACCCUGGUAGUCCACACCGUAAACGAUGA
rnacentral:rRNA from 1 species